CGCUUGACCUCGGAUCAGGUAGGGAUACCCGCUGAACUUAAGCAUAUCAAUAAGCGGAGGAAAAGAAACCAACAGGGAUUGCCCUAGUAACGGCGAGUGAAGCGGCAACAGCUCAAAUUUGAAAUCUGGCCCUUUUAGGGUCCGAGUUGUAACUUGCAGAGGGCGCUUUGGCGUUAGCAGCGGUCCAAGUUCCUUGGAACAGGUCGUCACAGAGGGUGAGAAUCCCGUACGUGGUCGCCAGCUUUCGCCGUGUAAAGCCCCUUCGACGAGUCGAGUUGUUUGGGAAUGCAGCUCUAAAUGGGAGGUAAAUUUCUUCUAAAGCUAAAUACUGGCCAGAGACCGAUAGCGCACAAGUAGAGUGAUCGAAAGAUGAAAAGCACUUUGGAAAGAGAGUCAAAUAGCACGUGAAAUUGUUGAAAGGGAAGCGCUUGCAGCCAGACUUGCCUGUAGUUGCUCAACCGAGCUUUUGUUCGGUGCAUUCUUCUGUAGGCAGGCCAGCAUCAGUUUGGGCGGUUGGAUAAAGGUCUCUGUCACGUACCUCCUUUCGGGGAGGCCUUAUAGGGGAGACGAAUUGCAACCAGCCCGGACUGAGGUCCGCGCAUCUGCUAGGAUGCUGGCGUAAUGGCUGUAAGCGGCCCGUCUUGAAACACGGACCAAGGAGUCUAACAUCUAUGCGAGUGUUUGGGUGUCAAGCCCAAGCGCGCAAUGAAAGUGAACGGAGGUGGGAUCCCUUUAGGGUGCACCAUCGACCGAUCCUGAUGUCUUCGGAUGGAUUUGAGUAAGAGCAUGGCUGUUGGGACCCGAAAGAUGGUGAACUAUGCUUGAAUAGGGUGAAGCCAGAGGAAACUCUGGUGGAGGCUCGCAGCGGUUCUGACGUGCAAAUCGAUCGUCAAAUUUGGGCAUAGGGGCGAAAGACUAAUCGAACUAUCUAGUAGCUGGUUCCUGCCGAAGUUUCCCUCAGGAUAGCAGUAACGUUUU
rnacentral:rRNA from 1 species